GUCAGGAUUGCAAGUCAUAUGCUCUGCAGCUCAGCCUCAUCAGUACAUUAGGGAAAUAAAACUGUCAGCAAGAUCAUCUUUGAACACAAAAAGCAGUGGGAUGGUUAGAAACUCAAAGGAAUGCCCAGGGGCUGAAAACACUGUGCUUAGCAUUAAUUAACUGGGAGAGGGCGAUGACAGGUGCUAUAGAAGUGAACAUUCUUGUUAUUAAUGUUAAUUUUUUUAUAUUAACGGAGGGAAGAAUUCUGGACCUGUUGUUUCAUAAUUAAUUUUCAUGCAAGUUCUGUGUGUCCUAGAUGUCCCCUAAAGAUGCUCUGUGACUGUAUUCCCCAACCAGUUAGCAAAAUGCCUAGAAGUAGGCAUGUUGGCUCCAUGUUGAACACCUGGCAUCCAUUUAGACCCAGCUAGUAUCCAUUACCUAAUCAGCCUUAGGGCACCAGGGAAGCUGGGCUUGGAAGAAGAAAAGACAGUGCCAUGGAAUGUUGCCAAAACAGAGCAGGAAUUAUUGAAUUACACAAGAAGCUCUGGCUGAGACAAGACAUCAAAGGCACAUAUAUUGGUUAAGAUCAGUAAGAUUGUCUGAAACCAUGUGUCAGAGAAAAUUCUCUUGGGAUAAGAAAAUGAAGAUUUGAAAUUACUUCCAAGAAUGAAGAGCAUCUGGAAGUCGAGGCAGGACUGGGACCAUCCCCAGAGGAGUGUGGAGCCUGGGAAACCAACCCUGCCACCAGCCUUUUCUCUCUCUUCUUUCCCUUUCCACCCAUUUUUAUUCGGGUAAAAACUGGUUCAAAAGAAAAAAGAGACUGUCUUAGAGGCCUUUUUUUUUUUUUGUAUGUAGCCAGAGGGAUGUGGAAGUGCCUGUGUGUGCUAGGAUUGCAUGUCUGUAAGUUCCUUUGCUGUCUAAGACCAUCUGUCUUCUCUUUGACCCCCUGUUUUCCCCACUCCAGCUCUGCACCUUACCCCAUGGUUGAUCCAACCCCAAGGUUCACCUCUUCUGGGGCAGCAGCUCUUUUUUCUUACGUUACUGGUUACUUCACCAGGAAGGGGUGAAGGGGAAAGUUAAAUGAGGUUUCUAGUCUAGAUGAUCCAGUUAUCACAUUGUGAGUAUGUGAUUGAGUAGGAUUAUUAGAGUAUAAAAUCAAAGUAAAUUCCAAGCCAGUUUUCUAAUAGGUUUUGACAUAGGAAUGGCUCUUUCAAGAACUUUGGCAAUUCUAUAGCAAUGUGAUGAGUACAAUCUGGCCCACUGUCCCUUAACCUGGCUGGUUCCAGCUGCCCCUCAGGGCAGUCAUCAGGGAUGACUUUUUCUCUCUUUGCCCUCUGAUUUGUGUUCCUUCUGGUUGUGUUUCCUCCAUUUAUUAGGGGAUCAGUGAUUAGCACCGCAAAAUUAUUUAUCCCUGCAACAUCAAUUGACUUUUAUAAAGAGUAUUUACUUCAAAGAGAUAGUAAGAACAAAUGUGUAAGCUUUCCCCCCAAUACUUCCAAUGCUUAUUCUCGCCUAUACCACCUCAGUGUUUGGGGGAGUAGGCUCAAAAUUUUGCUCAGUUCCUACAUAGUAUAGGCCCCACCAAAUUCAAGUUCACUGCAGGUUAAGUUCUUCCAACAGGCUGAGACCCUAAAGGUUACUCGCAAAGGUCACUCCUUGCUCCUCAGGGCACUGCUACUAUGCUGGCUAUAAAACACAGGUUGGAUUCUGAUGCUUAGAUUGCUAUGGCUCUCUCUUCUGACCAAAAAUUGCAAUGAAUGAAAACACCAAGGACCG
ensembl:lncRNA